UUAUCAAAUCGCUGGUCACAA
rnacentral:piRNA from 1 species